AGUAGGCCGAGUGGGUAUCUGUUUCGGUAAGUUGAUUCUUGCUGCUCAAUCUUUCCCUUUUUUUUUGUUUUAACAAUCUUUCCCAUUUUUUUUUUUUUAUGAAAUCAAUCUUUCCCAUUUUCUUAUGCGAUUUUCAUUUUGCUGCUCGUAACUUCCGUGCGGCUCCGAUCCCAUCGAUUUCGAUUCUUUCCUGUCCUCGGUGUCUUUGGCUUGAGGGAAGGGGAAAAAAGGGAGAGAAAUAUGGGAGGAGGAGAAGGCGGUCCUGGUGAUUCAUCUGUUCAUGAUUCUACGGCGGUGGAGGAGAGGUCUCCGUCUAUAUCCGGUGCUCCAACGGCUCGCAAUUCUCCGUCCAGAUCAAGCUUGAUUCCACUGUCGGCUCCUUCAAAUCCGUUCUUGCUCAGCAAUGUGACAUCCCCACUGAUCAGCAGCGACUUAUUUACAAAGGUCGGAUCUUGAAGGACGAUCAAACCCUCGUUAGCUAUGGUAUGGAGGCUGAUCAUACUGUCCACUUGGUUCGUGGUUUCGCAACUUCGUCAGCCAACACUGGCAGUCCGAGCCCUUCUCCAUCUCCAAACCCGACACAGAAUAACCCAAGCACUGUGGGUUCGGGUGGUUAUGUGUCAGUUGGAGGAUCUGACCAUGGACUUGGUCUGGAUGGCUUAGGUGACUUAGGUGGCAGUGGUGGCUUGUUUGGAACUGGGCUUCUGGAUUUCGAGCAGGAGCCAGAACAGUUUAGGAAUUCCAACAUUAUGAGAGAAAUCAUGAACAUACCUAGAUUCCAGAGCCUGAUGAACAACCCCGCUUUCAUGCGAGAUAUGAUUAUGAACACUCGCCAGAUGCGGCAAAUCAUAGAUUGCAAUCCCGAGCUUGCCGACCUCCUGAAUGCUCUGAGAAUUCUUUGCCAAACUGUGGAGGCCAGAAGGAAUCCCGAGCCUAUGCAUAAACUGAGGUGGAACACUGACAGAGCAAUGAGAAACCUAGAGGCGAUUCCCGAGUGGUCCAACAUGCUCAGGCGAAUGUCUGAGAAUGCUCAAGAGCCUCGUUUGAAUGAUACUACAGCCAGAAAUGAUACCCCGAACCCGUUUGCUGCACUCCUUGGAGAUGGAUCAAUCAAUUAUCAUCUGCCGCUUCUGAAAACGCCAAUAUUGUUCUCCUGCACCGAAUACUAUCCCGCCAAUAAUUCUCCUGCACUCUUUCGUGUUUUCUCUCCUCGAGAGCAUUUAUAUAACUUUUAUUAUGUAUUCUGUUUAUACCAACAUAGUAAAUGGAAGAGCCCAGGCCAACACCACGAGAACGAAUGAUGCCACGGGAGGAGCCGGUCUUCCUGAACUUGGCAACAUGUUUGGAGCUUUUCCAGAUCCCAACAACCUUCUUAAUGAGUUCAUGCAAAACCUGGCUAUUAGCCAGAUGUUGCAAAGACUCUGGUCCAACCCACAGUACAUGAAUCAGAUUCUAAACCUCAACCGCAGAUCCAUGACAUCCUUGAUUCCAAUAUUCAGCUGAGAGAAAUGCUCCAAACCCUGGAUUUUGUGCGUCAAAUGAUGCAGCAACUGUUAGCAUUCCAGCAAUCUCUCCUCUCCCAACUGGGUCGUCUUCAAAGUACGCGGUAGAGUGAUCCAGCUGGUGGAGCUACAGGAGCACCUGCACCAGCUUCCAAUGACAAUGAAAGAGGACUAGAGAUGCCGAUGAACAUGUCUGAUAGACUCGGGUCAGGCAGCCUGGCGGUUCCUCAGCGUCCUAACAGUACUUACCUUCCUUUUUCCCCGUUGAAUCCGCAUCCGUUUGAUGCUCACACUCACUUCUCAUGUCCAGUUCCACCGGAAGAACUGUACGCCACACUGCUUUUGCAGCUUCGAGAAAUGGGGAUUCUUCGACACAGGAAAACGUCAGAGCCCUGAUGGCUACAGCCGGGAACAUUCAUGCUGUGGUUGAACAUCUUCUCGGGAACCCUCCCGGUCAGUAACCGUCUAUCUAAACUCGUCUUGCUCUUGUGUUUGUAAGUGAUGUUCGGAUUCUCUCUUGGUAUAUCACCGGUUUGGCUUCUCUGUACAUACCUUGUAGAACACUUCUCAUCAGAUGAAGUGUGUCUUGGUUCGAAUAUUAGUGUCAGAGCCUUACUAGUUUAUGUUAAAACAGUCUGCUGUUUCUGUAUGAAAGAUAUGAUCUUUUUUGUUUAAA